UACGUAGGUCCCGAGCGUUGUCCGGAUUUAUUGGGCGUAAAGCGAGCGCAGGUGGUUUAUUAAGUCUGGUGUAAAAGGCGGUGGCUCAACCAUUGUAUGCAUUGGAAACUGGUAGACUUGAGUGCAGGAGAGGAGAGUGGAAUUCCAUGUGUAGCGGUGAAAUGCGUAGAUAUAUGGAGGAACACCGGUGGCGAAAGCGGCUCUCUGGCCUGUAACUGACACUGAGGCUCGAAAGCGUGGGGAUCGAACAGG
rnacentral:rRNA from 1 species